UCAGGGAGCAGCUGAAGAACACGGUGAAAUAUCCGCUCACCUCAGUGCUUCGGCUCAUUCAUAAAUCCGCGCCCUGAGCGCAUCCAUCCAUCCCAGAGGCGGGCGCAGUCUCUCCGCUCCGAGCUCCGGCUCCUGACAUUCACCACCGGAGCCAUGAGGGAGGGUGUAGCUGCCAAACUUUGACUGGAAAGAUACCCUAGCAGGGAUCAGAGAGAGUGGAACAACAGUGGCAGGUGGUUCUGGGAAUAAUACAGAAGGUGCAGGAUCCGUUCAUUCCCAAGAGGAAGAAAGAUUCCAAGGGGAGUGAGUGAGUAAGGGGCGACAGUCUCUAACAAGGGACGUCAUAAAAAUAAAAGAGAAGGAGUACAACGUAGCAAAGAUGAGCAGGAAGCAAGAGGAUUGGGUAAUGUUUAAAGAACAACAGGGAAUACAGGGAAAAAGAUGAGAUACGAAGCUAAUCUAGACAAGAAUAUAAAACAGGAUAGUAAAAGCUUAUUUAGGUAUGUGAAGCGGAAUAAAACAUAGUUCAGACCAAAGUAGAGUCCUUAAAAAUAGAAGCGGGUGAAUUUAUUAUAGGAAACAAGGAAAUGGCAGAUGAUUUGAACAGGUACUUUGGAUCUGUCUUCACUAAGGAUUACGCAAACAAUCUUCCUGACGUACCAGUGGCCAGAGGAUGUGGGGUGACGAAGGAACUGAAGGAAAUCCACAUUAGGCAGGAAAUGGUGUUGGGUGGGUAGACUGACCGGAUAGGGGUACGAGAAAGGAGGAGGGGAGGAGAGGAGAUAAAAACAACAGGUACAUGGUUAGUUUUACCGUUAAAUCUAUAUUACUAAAACUCUGUUCUUGACCGCUUUUGGCGAUCUGUGGUGCGAUUUCCGAGAGAACGCCGCCACCUACGGCCGUCAUUUUUGGCCACCUCGCUUAGAGCCCCCCUUCUGCCGCAUUUUUCCCGUCGAUGAAAUAUGAUCGAGAUAUUAAUGUUUUUACAGCAUUCCCCAUUCUCUCUGCUGCCCCCGUUGGCAGCAGGGGGAGGGAGGGACUAUAAAACCAGGAAGUGUCCUGCUUCAAUCACUUUCUUCCGGACCACGAAGUGAAAAGGUCGCGGCUCUCUGAGCUGCGGCUCUACUCUAAGGUGAGUCCCCUGCAUAUGCUUUUUCAGCCAAUUGGUCUGUUGUUCACCAUUCACCAUGGUCUGAAGUUUCUUGGCAAAUUUGUAUUGAAAAUAAAAAGCAUUUGCAAAUUUGUCUAUCUAUAUUGUCUUUGAAAUGUGGAUUGAACAUGAAAUGCAUUUGUAUAUUCGUCUAUAUAUAUUGUCUUUGAAAUGUGUAUUGAAAAUAAAAAGCAUUUGCAAAUGUGUCUAUCUAUAUUAUCUUUGAAAUGUGUAUUGAACAUGAAAUGCAUUUGUAUACCCGUCUUCAGGUGACUAAAGCAUGAUGUCCGUAUUGUCUUUGAAAUGUUUAUGUAAAUUGAAAUGCAUCUGUUGCAACGUUUUCACGCGGAAUAAAGCUUUUUAUUUGGACCAGAACUGUGUUUACAUUUAAAAUUGGCGCUCAUUUUGUGAUUUUGGCGGUUGCAAGAUGGCGGCGAUGACGUCGUUUCUGAUGAUCGGUAAGCCGGUGGCGAUGACGUCAUUUCCGGUCGGAGGCAAGAUGGCGGCGAUGAAGUCAUUUCCGGUCGGAGGUAAGAUGGCGCUGCCUGCUGAAGGCGGAGUGCACGAGGUCUUGAAUAAUUCUACAGAACUGGUAAAUGUUGUGUGUUUGUUGCAGCAAAAGCUGUAUUGUGUUUCAGCAAAAGCUGCAUUGUCUUUCAGCAAAAGCUGCAUUGUGUUUCAGCCACAGACUACAACAGGAUUUGAAGAUUCGUUCAAAUAUUCGGCUGCUUUCUCUAUGGGUGCAAGGUGAUUCACGAGUGUGCCGUACACUUCAGGACCGAUCUCUGUGAGCAGAAUCGCUGUCAUGCGUUCGCAAAGGGCCUUAUUUGUUUCAGCCACUAUGUCUCCUUCACCACUAAACUCCAUUAUGUUGUAUGCCGUUAAAAACAUGUUUGCUCUCUCCACAUGGGAGCUGAACGUCUCUAUACACUUGUCAACAUUGCCAAGGUUUCCAAUAUAGCCCGUGGACGCUGCAUCGUGUCGUUCUCUUCUAUUUUGUCCGUUAAAUGUACCCUUUUUCCUGUCUGUUCCGGUUUAUCAAUUCACCUAACACUUAGCUGUACAAAGGCUCAGCUUGAGCAACUCGACAAAAAAAAUCUUACACAAACCCAAGGACGAUAUCUUGCCACACAGACACAACAUAGAGAGAGCAUGACAAAUUAUCGACGAUUUGUCCAGCUGCUGUUUGAAACUACAGUCCCCUGCAGAGAAGGAUCUGCGGCCUAUCGUGUCCAGCUCGCAAACAACCGCGGCACACUCCGUAUUUACUGUUUAAAACGUUAAACAAUACUGCAUGUUGCACAACAGUCCUGCAUUGUAUUUAAAGGAUGAGUUCACAAUUCUAUCCCAUCCUCGUCGCCAAUUGUGUUAUAUUCCGGACGCAAGAAUGAGUAACAAAUUACACUCAGGUUGCCUGGAUCACGAGAGAGAGGUUUACUACCCAACAUCCCCUGUUUAUUUUGAACACCAACGCAUUAACGUAUACAUGAAUAUGCAUGAAUACAUUACACUGGUGAAACGUUAUAGAAACAUAGAGACAUAGACAAUAGGUGCAGGAGUAGAGGCCAUUCGGCCCUUCGAGCCUGCACCGCCAUUCAAUAUGAUCAUGGCUGAUCAUCCAACUCAGUAUCCUGUACCUGCCUUCUCUCCAUAACCCCUGAUCCCUUUAGCCACAAGGGCCACAUCUAGCUCCUUCUUAAAUAUAGCCAACGAACUGGCCUCAACUACCUUCUGUGCCAGAGAAUUCCAGAGAUUCACCACUCUGUGUGAAAAAUGUUUUCCUCAUCUCGGUUCUAAAAGAUUUCCCCCUUAUCCUUAAACUGUGACCCCUUGUUCUGGACUUCCCCAACAUCGGAAACAAUCUUCCUGCAUCUAGCCUGUCCAACCCCUUAAGACCCAUUAAGAAUGAUUGUAAGUUAUACCCCGCUCGCAUCCACUCCCUGCACACAAUGGGUGUUAUCACCGAAUGCAUGUAACCUGCAAAGCCAAAGGUCUUCGGGAGGAUGGAAGAAGCCGAAGCAAUUGGAGGAAAUUCACAGGGAGGCAAGCAGUUGGUGCAAACGCGAAACAGAUAGCACCUUAGGCCAGGAUCGAACCCGGAGUUUUGGCGCUGUGAUUCAGUAGCUCUACUACCUUCGCCAAUGCGACGACCUUGUGUAUCUCGUGUAAGUCUCACAUCACUACCCUCAAUAUGUUUUUAAUGGGGAAAGUAAGUCUGAUUCAGUAACCACCGCUCUCACACUCGCUGCCUUCUUCACAAUCUACUGUAACUAAAUCUCAACUGUUCGAUAAAGUAUGUGUAUAUAAGUUGGGAGGUCAUGUUGCAGUUGUAUAAGACGUUGGUGACAAGGCAUUUAGAAUAUUGUGUUCCAUGUUAUAAGAAAGAUAUUGUCAAGCUGGAAAAGGUUGAGAGAAUAUUGACGAGGAUACUGCUAGCACUAGAGGGUGUGAGCUAGAGGGGGAGUUUGAGUACGCUGGAUCUCCAUUCCUUGGUGCGCAGGAGGAUGACGGGUGACCUUAUAGAGGUGUAGAUAUUCAUGAGAGGUCUAGAAUGGGCAGAUUCACACUCUUGCCCAGGUUAGGGGAAUCGAGGACCAGCGGACAUAGGUUCAAUAUAAAGGGGGAAAUAUUUAAUUGGAUUUCGAGGGGUGACUUUUUCACACUAAGGGUGGUGGGUGUAUGGAACAAGUUGCCACAUGAAGCAGCUGAAACUGGGACUAUCCCAACAACUAAGAUACAUUUAAACGAGUACAUGGAUAGGUCUGGUUUGGAGGGAUAUGGACCAAGCGCAGGCAGAUGGGACCUGUGUAGCUGGAGCAUGUUGGUCGGUUGGGCCAAGUUGGGCCAAGCGCCUGUUUCCACUGUCUUAUCACUAUGACUCAUUGACUCUUAAAGUGUCAAUAAUUAGGGGUUAUUUAGAGAAUGUAUUAAAUGAUUGAAAAGGAAAAGGAAAUACAUUGACACAUGAAGGGGCAUCUUGUUGGUCUAGAAGGCAAGAGAGGAGGGAAGCCUAGCACGUGUAAACAACAGUGAGAUGUGUACUUGAAGUCCUGUCAAGCGCAGGGCCACGGACCAGCGCAAAGAUUCACAUUUUGGACUAUUUGCAUACGAGGGACCAAACGACCUCCUUUGUUGCUGAAAAAGCUGCUUGAUUCCAACAUCCUGCCGAUCGACCUCUAUUGCCGCAGGUCAAUGGCAACCUUGAUAUGUAUCUCACCCUCAUUUGUCCCAAACUAACGUGUGUGGGUUAACGUUGUGCUGAUAUCGUAUUAAUCACACACUGAGUCGUUUGUUUAACGUCCGACAAUUCGCGGUGAGUGGAUGGAUCCUGACACUAACACUCGGCCAGUCACACGGUGA